AAAAGACUUAGUCCUAACCUUACCGUUAAUUUUUGCUAGGCAUAUACAUGCAAGUAUCAGCACCCCAGUGCAAAUGCCCUCAACCCUUAACCUCAAGGCAUCAAGGAGCAGACAUCAGGCACGCUUCCGGCAGCCCAAAACGUCUUGCCCAGCCACACCCUCACGGGUAUUCAGCAGUAAUUAACAUUAAGCAAUGAGUGAAAACUUGACUUAGCCAUAGCAGCACCACUUAGGGUUGGUAAAUCUUGUGCCAGCUACCGCGGCCAUACAAGAAACCCAAAUUAACUGUAACUCGGCGUAAAGAGUGGUCUCACAUUAUCAAGCUAGCCAGGACAAAAAUACAUCCAAGCUGUUAUACGCCUAAGAUGCUCACAAGACCUCCUUAAAGCCCUAGUACUUCCGACUAAUUAAACUCCACGAAAGCUAAGACACAAACUGGGAUUAGAUACCCCACUAUGCUUAGCCCUAAAUUUAAGUACUUCUCUUACCUAAGUACUCGCCCGAGAACUACGAGCGCAAACGCUUAAAACUCUAAGGACUUGGCGGUGUUCCAAACCCACCUAGAGGAGCCUGUUCUAUAAUCGAUAACCCACGGUAAACCCAACCACCCCUCGCCAGAUCAGCCUACAUACCGCCGUCGCCAGCUCACCUUCUACUGAAAGUUUAACAGUGAGCAUAGCAGCCCUAGCCCGCUAAUAAGACAGGUCAAGGUAUAGCCUAUGGGGUGGAAGAAAUGGGCUACAUUUUCUAGUAUAGACCACCCACGAAAAGAGAUGUGAAACCCUCUCUAGAAGGCGGAUUUAGUAGUAAACUGGGAUAACGAAAGCCCCCUUUAACUAGGCCCUGGAAUACGUACAUACCGCCCGUCACCCUCCUCGCACCNNNNNNYCCCCCAAUAAUUAAUCUUUCCUCCCCGGACAAAGAUGAGGUAAGUCGUAACAAGGUAAGUGUACCGGAAGGUGCGCUUAGCAUAU
rnacentral:ncRNA from 1 species